rnacentral:rRNA from 1 species
GAUGAACGCUAGCGGCAAGGCCUAAUACAUGCAAGUCGAGCGGCAAGUCGAGGAGUAAUCUAAGACCUAGAGCGGCGCACGGGUGCGUAACGCGUAUGCAACCUACCUUAUACUGGGGGAUAGCCCGGAGAAAUCUGGAAUUAAUACCCCAUGGCACAUAUUGAUGGCAUCUGAGAUAUGUUAAAGAUUUAUGGUAUAAGAUGGGCAUGCGUCUGAUUAGCUAGUUGGCGGUGUAACGGACCACCAAGGCGACGAUCAGUAGGGGUUCUGAGAGGAAGGUCCCCCACACUGGCACUGAGAUACGGGCCAGACUCCUACGGGAGGCAGCAGUAGGGAAUAUUGGGGCAAAUGGUCGGAAGACUGACCCAGCCAUGCCGCG